ACUAAAAUUCCUUUCUUUCACAUAUGCUAAUAUCCUUGCCAGUCACCAGUCAAGUUCUUCCUUCUCCAUAGUAAAUCCUUAGACAACAGAAAACCUUCAAAGAAACCUCUCAUGAUAUCUCUUGGCACCCAAGGUGGGGUUUAAAGGCAUCAACUUUGCUCUUAGUCUUGCACUGAGUGAGAAAAACAACACCGGAAAAACUUCAAAUGUUGCAUUUUUUCUAUGGUCUGAGCCCCACUGGGAAUAAACUUCGCAAUCUCACCUAUGGAGUGGACGCUCUGCUAGAGAAUUCCCAGUCAAGACCCUAAAAAGCUGUCCUGGGACUCCCUAGCUAUAUGACUGCAGGUGUUGGUGUUUCCCCAAUCAGGAAUACAAAUGAACCAACAUUGAUGUUUAUGAAUUUCCAUGGCUAGCCAAGAAAAGGUAACUGACACGAAUAGAAAAUUGAAA